CAGUGGGCAGGGCUUCACUGGAGCAGGAUGAAUGCAUGGCGGAGGAGAAGGAGUGCACGAGAAAACAGAGAGUGAUGGCUGUCUUAAGGGGGAAUACAAAGGAGUCGUUUUCCGUACGAGACUUGAAAGAAGAGGAAGCUGCACUGCAGG